AUCGCUUCUCGGCCUUUUGGCUAAGAUCAAGUGUAGUAUCUAUCUAUCUAUCUAUAACUUCCAUUUUCCUUUAGGGCCAUACUUAAA
rnacentral:snRNA from 1 species